AUCACGACAUUCUUGAAGAUGCAUAAUAUUUCUCUUCUGAUUCUGCUCUGCUCUCUGAUGAGCUUUGCUUUUGCAAAAUAUAUUCCAAGUGAAUGUGAAAACCGGGUCAGUCCUGAAUGUAAUACUAUCCACGAAUAUCUUUACUACGAUAAAGUCUUUGACGAAUGCUUUUGUCAUGAUAAGCGGCGCAUAUAUGUAUGGGAAUACGAGAGUGCUAUAUUAUAAGAUCAUAAAAUUAGUUGUAAUAAAUGCGAAUUAGUUUAUGUAUUAAACUUAUUCAAAAAUCUA